GCCGAAAGCGGAAAGGAGAAGGGAAGUGGCCAGGACUGGGCUCUGGUGCGGCAUUCCAGGCUGCACUGCUCAGAGCCACCACCAGGGGGCACACGGGGCCGUGGAAUGCACUUCUUGUUCAGCGGCUUUCUCUGCUCCUGUCUGCCUGGCUCGGCUAACUUUGGGAACUGUCCCUCUCUGGCUCCAAGUGGCAGAAACAGUUCAGCCUAUCCACAUGUCGCCGUCACAGGGCACCUGUAGCCCGUUACUUGGGAGGUUCAGGCAGGAGAAUCGCUUCAGCCCAGCAGUUCUCAGCCAGCCUGGGUAACACAGGGAGGGAGACCGUCCCUCAAGGGGAGCUCGUUGACUGGUGUGUUUCCAGCCCAAGGGACACGGGAGACUGGAGGCUCCUCUCUGUGGUGACCGACUUCCACUCCCAUCAGCCACUGUUCCCAAACCCGUUUGUGCGGUCGGACUUGUUCUAAUUACAUUUUUAAUUAUCAAGUGAGCUGAUAACGAGAGCAAAGCCAAGCAAAGUUGUCCGGGCAGCAAAGCCAGACGAGUUCCCAAGUGUCUUCGAGCCUGACGGAUGGAUAGACUCAUACCAACACUCAUAAAAGGCAGCCCAACGCGAUACAACACGUCUGGAAUCCCAGUACAGGGGAGGCAGAGGCAGGAGGAUCAGGAGUUCAAAGUCACCCUCAGCUACAUAUGGAGUUCCAAGCCAGCCUGGACUACAUGAGGCUGUGAAAGAGAAUCCCUGGAAAGAAGCUGUCCCUGCAGAGACUGGCUGGCACCACAGAGGGAGAUAGAACAGCGUGUUUACUCACUCCAACGGGGUAUCAAUGACAGACCCAAGUAACGAUACCACCAAAGGCCAACCAGGUGAAGCCUCGAGUUUCCGGGGUUACUUGCAGGAGGCUGGACAGCCUGAAGCCACCUGCCACUAGAAGCCCAGGUCAGCCGGAUGGGUGACAGCUCUGGAAAGCUGGAAAUGGGGAGCCGGACUGUCUACUCGAAAAUGAACUAUCCGGCCCCCAGCGACUGGACGAAAUCACGCAACAACUCCUUUCUCCUCUGAGGAGUUUCGAGUGACCUCAGCUGGGGCCACCAGGUCAUCUGACUGGAAGGUUGGUAUGUGUGCCCUGAAUGAGAGCCUGGCGCUGCUGCGUGCACCUGGACCUGUUGGGGUUGACUCUAACAUGCUUUUUAGGUGUCUACCAGCUUAAGACUGCUUUGUGUGGUGGCUGUCAAUAAAUGGAGUUUGACCACACUG